AUUGAACGCUAGCGGGAUGCUUUACACAUGCAAGUCGAACGGCAGCGCGGACCUCGGUCUUGCGGCGAGUGGCGAACGGGUGAGUAAUGUAUAGGAACGUGCCCAGUAGCGGGGGAUAACUACGCGAAAGGGGAGCUAAUACCGCAUACGCCCUACGGGGGAAAGCAGGGGAUCGUAAGACCUUGCACUAUUGGAGCGGCCGAUAUCGGAUUAGCUAGUUGGUGAGGUAACGGCUCACCAAGGCGACGAUCCGUAGCUGGUUUGAGAGGACGAUCAGCCACACUGGAACUGAGACACGGUCCAGACUCCUACGGGAGGCAGCAGUGGGGAAUUUUGGACAAUGGGGGCAACCCUGAUCCAGCCAUCCCGCGUGUGUGAUGAAGGCCUUCGGGUUGUAAAGCACUUUUGGCAGGAAAGAAACGUCGCGGGCUAAUACCCCGUGGAACUGACGGUACCUGCAGAAUAAGCACCGGCUAACUACGUG
rnacentral:rRNA from 1 species